rnacentral:rRNA from 1 species
GGGCCCGCACAAGCGGUGGAGCAUGUGGUUCAAUUCGAUGCUGAGCGAAGAACCUUACCUGGGCUUGACAUGCAGGAAGUAGAAACCGGAAACGGGGACGACCUGUUAAGUCAGGAGCCUGCACAGGUGGUGCAUGGCUGUCGUCAGCUCGUGCCGUGAGGUGUUGGGUUAAGUCCCGCAACGAGCGCAACCCUCACUCUAUGUUGCCAUCGGGUAAUGCCGGGCACUCUUAGGGAACCGCCGGCGAAGAGCUGGAGGAAGGGGGGGAUGACGUCAAGUCCGUAUGCCCCUUAUGUCCAGGGCUACACACAUGCUACAAUGGCCGAUACAGAGGGUUCCCAACCCGCGAGGGGGAGGCAAUCCCACAAAGUCGGUCUCAGUUCGGAUUGCAGGCUGCAACUCGCCUGCAUGAAGUCGGAAUCGCUAGUAAGCGCAGAUCAGCAGGCUGCGCUGAAUACGUUCCCGGGCCUU